CCUACGGGAGGCAGCAGUGGGGAAUAUUGCGCAAUGGGCGCAAGCCUGAUGCAGCGACGCCGCGUGAGGGAUGAAGGUCUUCGGAUCGUAAACCUCUGUCAGCAGGGAAGAACGGUCACUGUGCUAUUCAGCAGUGAAUUGACGGUACCCGCAGAGGAAGCACCGGCUAACUCCGUGCCAGCAGCCGCGGUAAUACGGAGGGUGCGAGCGUUAAUCGGAAUUACUGGGCGUAAAGCGCUCGUAGGCGGUCUGUCAAGUCUAGGGUGAAAUCCCCGCGCUCAACGUGGGAACUGCCUUUGAAACUGGCAAGCUGGAGUGUUGUAGAGGGGAGUAGAAUUCCAGGUGUAGGAGUGAAAUCCGUAGAGAUCUGGAGGAAUAUCAGUGGCGAAGGCGACUACCUGGCACAAAACUGACGCUGAGGUGCGAAAGCGUGGGUAGCAAACAGGAUUAGAUACCCGAGUAGUC
rnacentral:rRNA from 1 species